rnacentral:siRNA from 1 species
ACGUCUUAACAAGAAAUGAUCUUG